UACGGAGGGUGCAAGCGUUAUCCGGAUUCACUGGGUUAAAGGGUGCGUAGGUGGGUUGGUAAGUCAGUGGUGAAAUCUCCGAGCUUAACUUGGAAACUGCCAUUGAUACUAUCAGUCUUGAAUAUUGUGGAGGUCAGCGGAAUAUGUCAUGUAGCGGUGAAAUGCUUAGAUAUGACAUAGAACACCAAUUGCGAAGGCAGCUGGCUACGCAUAUAUUGACACUGAGGCACGAAAGCGUGGGGAUCAAACAGG
rnacentral:rRNA from 1 species